rnacentral:rRNA from 1 species
UACGGGGGGAGCAAGCGUUGUUCGGAUUUACUGGGCGUAAAGGGCGGGUAGGCGGCCACCGCAAGUCAGUUGUGAAAUCUCUGGGCUUAACCCAGAAAGGUCAACUGAUACUGUGCGACUAGAGUGCGGAAGGGGCAACUGGAAUUCUCGGUGUAGCGGUGAAAUGCGUAGAUAUCGAGAGGAACACCUGCGGCGAAGGCGGGUUGCUGGGCCGACACUGACGCUGAUGCGCGAAAGCCAGGGGAGCGAACGGG